rnacentral:rRNA from 1 species
UGGGGAAUUUUGGACAAUGGGCGAAAGCCUGAUCCAGCAAUGCCGCGUGUGUGAAGAAGGCCUUCGGGUUGUAAAGCACUUUUGUCCGGAAAGAAAUCCUUGGCUCUAAUACAGUCGGGGGAUGACGGUACCGGAAGAAUAAGCACCGGCUAACUACGUGCCAGCAGCCGCGGUAAUACGUAGGGUGCAAGCGUUAAUCGGAAUUACUGGGCGUAAAGCGUGCGCAGGCGGUUUGCUAAGACCGAUGUGAAAUCCCCGGGCUCAACCUGGGAACUGCAUUGGUGACUGGCAGGCUAGAGUAUGGCAGAGGGGGGUAGAAUUCCACGUGUAGCAGUGAAAUGCGUAGAGAUGUGGAGGAAUACCGAUGGCGAAGGCAGCCCCCUGGGCCAAUACUGACGCUCAUGCACGAAAGCGUGGGGAGCAAACAGGAUUAGAUACCCUGGUAGUCCACGCCCUAAACGAUGUCAACUAGUUGUGGGGAUUCAUUCCUUAGUAACGUAGCUAACGCGUGAAGUUGACCGCCUGGGGAGUACGGUCGCAAGAUUAAAACUUAAAGGAAUUGACGGGGUCAUAGCUG